rnacentral:lncRNA from 1 species
AAAAUUUACGUGUUUUAAGAUUUUUUAUAAUGAAUUUAUUACAUAUUUUUUGCAUCAUACUGUAUGAUUUGAGGAUUCCCCUUUUGAUGUUUAUGUUGUGGUUUAGUCGUAAUUAAAUAUCUAUGUCGGUGUGGAUUGGUUUUCUGCAAAUGUUGGUUACACAUCCUGUAUCCUGUAUUUUGUGAUUAAUAUAAUGAAAUAUCUGCUAAUCAUUGUGAUAAGGAUGCGUCCAUGGCUACUCGAAAAUCUUGUUUGUAGAUAAUCAUCUAGUUGAAAAUAAGAAGUGUUGUCAGUGUAUCAUUCCUCUCUAGUUUGACUCUUAUUAGUUGUGAUUGUAUGUUAGUGCGUUUCAUCUGUCAGGUAUUCCUUAAACUUUAUGGGUUUUCAAGGGGUUUUAGAGUCUCUUUUAUGUUUUUUUAAGCAACUACUACUGAUAAAUUCGUUUAAGAGAAGAAAAUAUUCGUAAUUUUCUGAUUCCGAACUAGAAUUUAAAUUUGUUUGCCAGUGACACUAAUAUUUUGUCCCUCGCUUUAUAUGGUGGAUGUUUAUUUCUGUAAGGCCGUAGUGACUAUAUUAUCAUCAUCAUUCUCUUUGCCUUUAUUCCUAUACGAAGUCUGCUUCCCCCUAAUUACAUUUCUCCAUAAGUCUCUAUCUUGGGUCAUACCAAUAUCAAGGAUCCCCCCUCAGGAUCUCGUAUAGGGCGAGUACCCUCUCAACAUGGACAUACCUGAACCAUCUUAACCUAUAAUUUUCCAUUUUGGCAUCAAUCAGUGUCACCCCUACACUUCCCCGUCAUUGUUUGAACAUUUUGGGAAAAUACUUUACCUAUUUGUUCCAUUGGUUAUUUGACUGUAUAUUGUGUAUUUUGCUUUUACGAGUUAUCCUUGUCCCUAGUAAAAAAGACUAGGUCUAUGUGGCAAAUUAUUUAUAACUUGUUUUCUUUGUUUUAUUCAUUCAAUAUUUCUGGGUUAGCCCUACUGGCUAUCAUCUUAUAACUUUUGUUCUUUUCAAUUUUAUUUUCGAUUGUGUACUAGUAAAAAUAUCCAAAGAACCACCCCACACAUCUUCAGAUCCUGAGCAACGAGCCCUGGUUCAUUUUGUAUGCCUGAAACAUUGCUUAUCGUUGUAACACUCAUGGAGUGUUACAAUUUAGUACCAAAGAUAGUUUUUGUUCUAAGUUUUAAACAUUUUUUCUUCAGAGCUUGUCUCCACUGUUCCAGUUUGUAUUCGAAGUUGUUUUUACUAUUCCCUACUAACACUACAUCAUCAGCUAACAUUCAGAAGGUUCAGAUGAUUCAGAUAAGCCAAUUUCAUUAAUUAUUGUUAAUCGUCCAAUUUUUUAAAAAGAUGCCCGAAACUAGAAAUUGGUUAUCCUGUUGUAAAGCGUUUUUAUUCUUCCCAGUGUAGAUUGUAAUUCAGUUGUAUUGCUUCACGGUUUUUGACUUAACUGCCUGUAGAUUUUAGAAUCUCUAUCGCCUGUUUUUCUCAGAAACACAUGUGUUGCUAUCGAUAGAUGCGAUUCUCACGCAAAGUGUAAGCCUUUAAUAGCUUUUUGGGUAAAAGAGGUCCUUGCCUCUCAUAAAUCAUUAAGGAAUUAGGGUUGCUAAGCACUUUACGAGUGUUAACGAAUCUGUUUUUAGAUAUUUCUCAGGGCUUCCCUUGAUUUUAAUUGGGUAGCGUCCUGACGCUAACGAACCCUACAAGUUAAAGAAUUUUUAAGAUUUUGUGGCAUUCGUGAGUUAAACUUUGUUGCAGUAGGUUGAGUCGUUUUAGUCAUGUGGUGAACGUUAGUUAUUUUGUGAUAGACCAGCCUGGAUUCGUCUGGGCUGGUCCCAAGUUACUACCGCUAAUAUCUACGUCCACAUUACACUGUGGCCAAAGCUAUUUUUUGUCGCUCCUAUUAUUUCGACUUUGCCGCUGGAUAUAUGACCUAGCCGAUAGGGAUGCCUGUUGCACGGGAUACCCUCUGACAUCUGUUUAAAUCACCCCGAGUGUGCGACGCUUCUAGUAACUCAACACUUAUUCUGUUAGUCUGGAGUUCCUCAGGCCGUUCUAGAACACAGUCAUUUUGUGCGACUAUAUAAACCAAAUUGUUCUUAUUGAAUGAAUCAGUCUGUAGUUUACAGCUGUCAUAAAAAUUGUACUAAUAAAUACGAAUUGUAAAUAAA